GGUUCAGUAGCAAAAUGGAUAACGUGUCUGAUUACUGAUCAGAAAACUGUAGGGUCCACUCCUGCCUCACUUG
rnacentral:tRNA from 1 species